rnacentral:rRNA from 1 species
GGUUAAGCGACUAAGCGUACACGGUGGAUGCCCUGGCAGUCAGAGGCGAUGAAGGACGUGCUAAUCUGCGAAAAGCGUCGGUAAGGUGAUAUGAACCGUUAUAACCGGCGAUGUCCGAAUGGGGAAACCCAGUGCAAUUCGUUGCACUAUCGUUAACUGAAUACAUAGGUUAACGAGGCGAACCGGGGGAACUGAAACAUCUAAGUACCCCGAGGAAAAGAAAUCAACCGAGAUUCCCCCAGUAGCGGCGAGCGAACGGGGAGCAGCCCAGAGUCUGAAUCAGCUUGUGUGUUAGUGGAACGGUCUGGAAAGUCCGACGGUACAGGGUGAUAGUCCCGUACACCAAAAUGCACAGGCUGUGAACUCGAAGAGUAGGGCGGGACACGUGGUAUCCUGUCUGAAUAUGGGGGGACCAUCCUCCAAGGCUAAAUACUCCUGACUGACCGAUAGUGAACCAGUACCGUGAGGGAAAGGCGAAAAGAACCCCGGCGAGGGGAGUGAAAAAGAACCUGAAACCGUGUACGUACAAGCAGUGGGAGCCCCACCACUAAGCCAGUGGUGAACUCCACAUAUGCAUCCUUUGCUGAAGGUGCGGUUAACGGAGCGUAAGCGACGUUCAACCUCAAAAGAAGCAGAGGGGGCUUAGUGGUGGGGUGACUGCGUACCUUUUGUAUAAUGGGUCAGCGACUUAUAUUCUGUAGCAAGGUUAACCGUAUAGGGGAGCCGCAGGGAAACCGAGUCUUAACUGGGCGUUAAGUUGCAGGGUAUAGACCCGAAACCCGGUGAUCUAGCCAUGGGCAGGUUGAAGGUUGGGUAACACUAACUGGAGGACCGAACCGACUAAUGUUGAAAAAUUAGCGGAUGACUUGUGGCUGGGGGUGAAAGGCCAAUCAAACCGGGAGAUAGCUGGUUCUCCCCGAAAGCUAUUUAGGUAGCGCCUCGUGAACUCAUCUUCGGGGGUAGAGCACUGUUUCGGCUAGGGGGUCAUCCCGACUUACCAACCCGAUGCAAACUACGAAUACCGAAGAAUGUUAUCACGGGAGACACACGGCGGGUGCUAACGUCCGUCGUGAAGAGGGAAACAACCCAGACCGCCAGCUAAGGUCCCAAAGUCAUGGUUAAGUGGGAAACGAUGUGGGAAGGCACAGACAGCCAGGAUGUUGGCUUAGAAGCAGCCAUCAUUUAAAGAAAGCGUAAUAGCUCACUGGUCGAGUCGGCCUGCGCGGAAGAUGUAACGGGGCUAAACCAUGCACCGAAGCUGCGGCAGCGACACUAUGUGUUGUUGGGUAGGGGAGCGUUCUGUAAGCCUGCGAAGGUGACCUGUGAGGGUUGCUGGAGGUAUCAGAAGUGCGAAUGCUGACAUAAGUAACGAUAAAGCGGGUGAAAAGCCCGCUCGCCGGAAGACCAAGGGUUCCUGUCCAACGUUAAUCGGGGCAGGGUGAGUCGACCCCUAAGGCGAGGCCGAAAGGCGUAGUCGAUGGGAAACAGGUUAAUAUUCCUGUACUUGGUGUUACUGCGAAGGGGGGACGGAGAAGGCUAUGUUAGCCGGGCGACGGUUGUCCCGGUUUAAGCAUGUAGGCUGGUUAUCCAGGCAAAUCCGGAUAAUCAAGGCUGAGGUGUGAUGACGAGGCACUACGGUGCUGAAGUAACAAAUGCCCUGCUUCCAGGAAAAGCCUCUAAGCAUCAGGUAACAUCAAAUCGUACCCCAAACCGACACAGGUGGUCAGGUAGAGAAUACCAAGGCGCUUGAGAGAACUCGGGUGAAGGAACUAGGCAAAAUGGUGCCGUAACUUCGGGAGAAGGCACGCUGGUGUGUAGGUGAAGUCCCUGCGGAUGGAGCUGAGACCAGUCGAAGAUACCAGCUGGCUGCAACUGUUUAUUAAAAACACAGCACUGUGCAAACACGAAAGUGGACGUAUACGGUGUGACGCCUGCCCGGUGCCGGAAGGUUAAUUGAUGGGGUUAUCCGUAAGGAGAAGCUCUUGAUCGAAGCCCCGGUAAACGGCGGCCGUAACUAUAACGGUCCUAAGGUAGCGAAAUUCCUUGUCGGGUAAGUUCCGACCUGCACGAAUGGCGUAAUGAUGGCCAGGCUGUCUCCACCCGAGACUCAGUGAAAUUGAACUCGCUGUGAAGAUGCAGUGUACCCGCGGCAAGACGGAAAGACCCCGUGAACCUUUACUAUAGCUUGACACUGAACAUUGAGCCUUGAUGUGUAGGAUAGGUGGGAGGCUUUGAAGCGUGGACGCCAGUCUGCGUGGAGCCAACCUUGAAAUACCACCCUUUAAUGUUUGAUGUUCUAACGUUGGCCCCUUAUCGGGGUUGCGGACAGUGUCUGGUGGGUAGUUUGACUGGGGCGGUCUCCUCCCAAAGCGUAACGGAGGAGCACGAAGGUUAGCUAAUCCUGGUCGGACAUCAGGAGGUUAGUGCAAUGGCAUAAGCUAGCUUGACUGCGAGCGUGACGGCGCGAGCAGGUGCGAAAGCAGGUCAUAGUGAUCCGGUGGUUCUGAAUGGAAGGGCCAUCGCUCAACGGAUAAAAGGUACUCCGGGGAUAACAGGCUGAUACCGCCCAAGAGUUCAUAUCGACGGCGGUGUUUGGCACCUCGAUGUCGGCUCAUCACAUCCUGGGGCUGAAGUAGGUCCCAAGGGUAUGGCUGUUCGCCAUUUAAAGUGGUACGCGAGCUGGGUUUAGAACGUCGUGAGACAGUUCGGUCCCUAUCUGCCGUGGGCGCUGGAGAAUUGAGGGGGGCUGCUCCUAGUACGAGAGGACCGGAGUGGACGCAUCACUGGUGUUCGGGUUGUCAUGCCAAUGGCACUGCCCGGUAGCUAAAUGCGGAAGAGAUAAGUGCUGAAAGCAUCUAAGCACGAAACUUGCCCCGAGAUGAGUUCUCCCUGAGACUUUAAGUCUCCUGAAGGAACGUUGAAGACGACGACGUUGAUAGGCCGGGUGUGUAAGCGCAGCGAUGCGUUGAGCUAACCGGUACUAAUGAACCGUGAGGCUUAACCUU